CUUCAGCCUUCCAUUGAAGACCCAUCAGCCUCCUAAUAUGGUCUCACAUGGGACACUGCAGUGAGCUCCAGACCUUCAAAUAGAUUCUACCAUCUCCAGUGUGCAGACAGACCCUCCAAACUCUUCCACAUAAGAUUCUCAACUCCUGUAAAUUUGAGAGGGCCAACAUCCACUCUGUGAGCCACUCUUUCCUGCCCCCCACCAAACACACAAGAAAGUGAGGCCCACUACUUCACAGAACCGACAGGAAUGCUUCCUUUUGCCAUGUUCGUUGAGGAUGUGGGUGAAGUGAAGUGGCACCAAGCAAAGGAGUUCCUAAAAUUUUAAGAAGAUGUGAGGGUAUGGGCGGCUUUCCAUUUAUCCAGAAGUCCAACAUAGGUCACUUGAAAACGCCAAAAGAAGGCCAAACGUGUUGUGAAUCUGGAAGAUGAGUUAACUAGCAUCAUGGAAGACCCAAAGACCUCAGCUUCUCAGGCUGGUG
ensembl:lncRNA